GGGCCAUUGCCAUCAAAGGGCCUCUGUGGAAGAAAGUGACUCUAGUGAAGAGGACAUUGGAACCCUUUCCCACUGGUAUAAGUUCUGUUCCAGUCAUGCUUUAUAACUCAUGCUGCCACAUUGGUUUCCGUGAUUUUGGACUCUAUGAAUGGGCCUUGCCCAGGGAAGAUGGGACUGGCUGAUUUGAAAGACUGGUGCAGCUCUGGACUGAGAGGACUUCAAGCUAAGUGAUGGGUCCUGAGGUCUAGGGACUCUUUCAUAAACCAUCUCAUUUAUGGAAACCUGACACACAUAUGGGAAACUAGAUCUUUCACUUGCCUUUUACUCUUCUCUCUUGCCUCUGUCUGGCCCCACAUAUCAAUGUGUACUUGUAGUAAACCAUCAUGGAAGCUACUGGCAACACAGGUCAACAAUUUUGACCCCAAUGGGUGAAGCUAGGUACCAUCCAGCCCUCAAAGCUGUAGGCCUUUCUCCAUACUCAAACAUAUUUUGUGUCCUAUUUUCUGAGCUCUCCCCUAGGAUGAAUUUGAUCCUUGAAUGUGUGCUGAGGUCCCAGUGUGUUUCUGUGUGGUUCAUGCCAAGCAAAGUGUUUACACUUAGAAAAUAAAAAAAUUGGCUGGGCACAGUGGCUCACACCUGUAAUCCCAGCACUUUGGGAGGUCAAGGCCGGAGGAUCACUUGAGGUUGGGAGUUCGAGACCAGCCUGAUCAACGUGGAGAAACCCUGUCUCUACUAAAAAUACAAAAUUAGCCAGGGGUGGUGGCACUUGCCUGUAAUCCCAGCUACUUGGGAGGCUGAGGCAGGAGAAUCGCUUG
rnacentral:lncRNA from 1 species